rnacentral:tRNA from 1 species
ACUGCUGUAGCUCAACGGAUAGAGCACUCUUUUGACUAAGGAACGGUUGCGGGUUCGAAUCCCGCCAGUAGUAC